rnacentral:rRNA from 1 species
GCACGUAGUUAGCCGGUGCUUAUUCUUCAGGUACCGUCAUUAGCAAAAGAUAUUAGCUUUCACCGUUUCUUCCCUGACAAAAGAGCUUUACAACCCGAAGGCCUUCUUCACUCACGCGGCAUUGCUGGAUCAGGCUUUCGCCCAUUGUCCAAAAUUCCCCA